GUGCCGUUCAGUUUUCUAGCCGUCCGUAGCGUUCCCACUCCUUUGGAUUGUUCAAUCAUCAUUCCAAGCAACGUUGGUUACAGCACCCCCCAUGACCUCAUAAGGGACAAGCGGUAGAAAAUGGAUGGAUGGAUGCAUUAUUUACUUCAAGUUAUUACGGGACGAAGAAGCAUACCAAGUAUCACACACCUGGCACAAAGUCCCGCACACCCGACCCCGGCCGCUUGGUAGACAUUCAGGCGACAGGGGGUACCUUACCAGGGGACACCGCCAUACCACCACGUCACAGAUGAAGGCUGCGGAAGCAAGGUAGCCGAAACUUGUCAGAUACAUUCGUGAUGGCGUCAGUUCGCCGUGGUGCGUUCAAGGACACUUGGCAGUCCGACUUGUACGUCCCCACACGUACUGAGUGCUGGAAUAAAAGAUGUUCUCGGGGUAAAUUGGUUUCACCAAUUCCUCACCAAAACGUCACCUUGGAGUUGUUGAGUCCGUCCUUCUGUUUUGUUUGAUCAGCCGUUUUACUGCCUCGUUGCAAACACCAUUUGGAAACGAUUAAGG